AUGUUGGAGCUGCCCCUGGUGAAGGGGGACCCCUUCCACCAUGUCAUGGAGGCGAUCCUCGACCUGUCCGAUGUGGCCCACGUCGUGUGCACCACAAGGGGCGUGAACCUCCAGGCCGUGGACACCAAACGCGCCGCGAUCGUCUCGCUCCUCUUCCCCGCCGAGGACUUCAAGGGCUACACCUGCGACGAGUACAUCUCCAUUGGGAUCCCAAUCCGCGACUUGGUCAAUGCCAUCCGCUGCGGCGACGACAAAGACACCAUCACCCUCAAGAUCGGCGAAGAAAACUUCAAGAACAUGACCUUAUCAUUGGUGUCGCCCGAGAAGAGAACUGUGGAUUUCGUAUUCUGGAUUGUGGAUGCCCAACUCGCGCGCAUUGAACUCCCAGAUAGGCAGGAUUUGGAGUACCAGGCCUCUGUCAAAAUGCCAUCUGUGGAGUUUAGGCGGAUCUGCAAGUACCUCAGUAACUUCGGAGAAGAAGAUGGUGUCAUCUGGGUGACUGACGAGGACCUCACAUACUUUGCUAAGGGAACAAAUGGGGACGUCUACAUGGAGUACACGCAGCAAGAAGAAGAUACUACUACCUUUAAAAUAGAUAUGCAAGAACCAAUUACACUGACCUUGGAUCUGAAGUACUUGAACACCUUCGCCAAGGUGUUCACCCUGUCUGGUCAAGUGAAGCUCUUUCUCUCGAAGACACAUCCCCUCGUGGUCGAAUGCGAAAUUGGACAGAAGGGCCGCAUCAGAUGUUUCAUGGUACCGAAGAUGGAAACAGAGUUCCAAGGGGAAGAGGAAGAGAAAGAGGCCCAUCUUCCCCUAUGCCGCCGCCGCCGGGCCCUCCAAGAGGCGAGCGCAGCCACCAGGUUGGAGCUGCCCCUGGUGAAGGGGCACCUCUUCCACGAUGUCCUGGAGGCGAGCCUCGACCUGUCCGAUAUGGCCCUCAUCGAGUGCUUCGGAGCGUGUUUGAAGCUCCAGGCCGUGGACACCGGACGCGGCACGUUCGUCUCGCUCCUCUUCCCCGCCAAGGACUUCCCUGGCUACAUCUGCAACGAGCACUUCUCCAUGGGGAUCCCAAUCCGCGACUUGGUCAAGGCCAUCCUCUGCGGCGACAAAGACACCAUCACCCUCAAGGUCGUCGACGAAAACAUUACCUUAUCAUUCGUGUCGCCCGAGAAGAACACUGUGGCUUACGAUUUGCGGAUUAUGGACGGCGAAAUCCCGCACUUGAAAAUCGCAGAUUGGCAGGAUUUGGAAUUGAAGUACCAGACCUCUGUCAAAAUGCCAUCUGUGGAGUUUAGGCGGAUCUGCAAGUACCUCAACAACUUCAGAGAUGAAGAUGCUGUAGGUGGAAUUUCGGUGACCGACAAGGGCCUCAAGUUCUUUGCUAAGGGAAAAAGUCGGCGCGUGAACAUGAAGCAAGAAGAUACUACUACCUCUAAAAUAGAUGUGCAAGAACCAAUUACACUGACCUUUGAUCUGAAGUACUUGAACACCUUCGCCAAGGUGUUCACCCUCUCUGGUCAAGUGAAGCUCUUUCUCUUGAAGACACAUCCCCUCAUGGUCGAAUGCAAAAUUGGACAGAAGGGCCACAUCAGAUGUUUCGUGGCACCAAAGAUGGAACCAGAGUUCCAAUGGGAAGAAGAAGAGGAAGAGACCCAAGAAGAUAUUAAUGCAAACAUCUCUGCUAAUAAGCUUGCAUUGAGGGGAUGUGUCGACUCGAUGUACAAGCAGAGAGAAGAGAACAGAGCAGAGGAAGGUGACCCUGAGCAGAUGGUGAGGGGUGACCUGCCACGAAGGCUUUCCUUAGUGGUCCACUCAGUCCAGUAG
rnacentral:rRNA from 1 species